CCAAAAAACCACGAGUUUUCUCUUCCGAAAUCCCACAUUUAACCAGAAAUCACACGUUUUCCCUUCGCAAAACCCCCAUUUAAGCGAAAAUCUCGCGUUUUCUCUUUGAGAAUCGUCAAUUUAAGUGAAAAUCAAGCGUUUUCUCUUUGAGAAUCCCCCAUUUAAGUGAAGAUCAUGAAUUUUCGCUUCUCAAAUACCCCAUUUAAGCGAAAAUCACGCGUUUUCUCUUCGGAAAUCCCCCAUUUAACUUGAAAAUCACGUUUUCUCUUCGAGAAUCCAACAUUUAAGCGAAAAUCACGUGUUUUCUCUUCGAGAAUCCAACAUUUAAGCGAAAAUCACACGUUUUCUCUUCGCAAAUCCCCCAUUUAACUUGAAAAUCACGCGUUUUCUCUUCGGAAAUCCCCCAUUUAAGCGAAAAUCACGCGUUUUCUCUUCGAGAAUCCAACAUUUAACUAGAAAAUCAAGCGUUUUCUCAAAUCCCCCAUUUAAGCGAAAAUCACGCGUUUUCUCUUCGCAAAUCCCCCAUUUAACCAGAAAACCAAGCAUUUUCUCUUCGAGAAUCCCCCAUUUAACCCGAAAAUCAUGUGUUUUCUCAAAUCCCACAUUUAAGCGAAAAUCACGCAUUUUCUCUUCGCAAAUCCCCCAAUUAACCCAAAAAACCACGAGUUUUCUCUUCCGAAAUCCCCCAUUUAACCAGAAAUCACACGUUUUCCCUUCGCAAAACCCCCAUUUAAGCGAAAAUCUCACGUUUUCUCUUUGAGAAUCGUCAAUUUAAGUGAAAAUCAAGCGUUUUCUCUUUGAGAAUCCCCCAUUUAAGUGAAGAUCAUGAAUUUUCUCUUCUCAAAUACCCCAUUUAAGCGAAAAUCACGCGUUUUCUCUUCGGAAAUCCCCCAUUUAAGCGAAAAUCACGCGUUUUCUCUUCGAGAAUCCCCCAUUUAAGCGAAAAUCACGCGUUUUCUCUUCGAAAAUCCCCCAUUUAAGCAAAAAUCACGCGUUUUCUCUUCAGAAAUCCCCCAUUUUAGCGAAAAUGUCGUGUUUCCUCUUCAGAAACCCCCCAUUUAAGCAAAUAUCACGCGUUUUCUCAUCAGAAAUCCCCCAUUUAAGCAAAAAUCAUGCGUUUUGUCUUCGGAAAUCCCCCAUUUAAGCAAAAAUCACGAGUUUUCUUUUCGGAAAUCCCACUUUUAAUCGGAUAUCACGCUCUUUAUCUCCGAGAAUCCCACAUUUAAGCAAAUAUCACGCGUUUUCUCUUUGGAAAUCCCCCAUUUAAGCGAAAAUCACGCGUUUUCUCUUCGGAAAACCCCGAUUUAAUUGAAUAUCAACAGUUUCAUCUCCGAGAAUCCCACAUUUAAGCAAAUAUCACGCGCUUUCUCUUCAGAAAAACCCAAGUAAGAGAAAAUCAUGAAUUUUCUCCUCGGAAAUCACCCAUUUAAGCGAAUAUUUCAGGUUUUUUCUUAGAGAAUACACCAUUUAAGCGAAAACCACACGUUUUCUCUUCAGAAAUCCCCCAUUUAAGCGAAAAAAAGUGCGUUUUCUCUUCGAAAAUCCCCCAUUUAAGCGAAAAUGAUAAAUUUUCUCUUUGGAAGUCCACCAUUUAAGCGAAAAUCAUGAAUUUUCUCUUUGGAAAUCUGCCAUUUAAGCGAA
ensembl:lncRNA